CCCUCGGCGGGAGGCGGAAGGGCGGUGUCUCCGCGCCGCCGGCGCAAGGCUGAUGACGCCGCGUGAGGCGAUCGGGGCGGGUAGGGGAAAGCGGUGAGGCCCGCGCCGGUUUAACGGGGCCGGCGAUGAAGGUGAAGCUGUGCGGGGCGGGCGGCGGGCGGCUGGGGACGCUGGCGGGCCUGGGCAGGAGCGGGGCCGCCGCCCUGGCGCUGCCGGGCUGCCUGCUCUACACGCGGACCGGCUCGGCGCCCCACCUCACCCGCGACACCCUGCAGGCGGUCGGCGGCGUCCCCGCCGUGGCCCAGCUCAGCCUGCCCGCCCUGGCAGAACUUCAUGAGGUCCUGGAAGAAUAUAAAGAAGGAGCUGCAAAAUUUAUAGGUAUGCCAGACGCGGUCCUGUACUGCUCCCUUCUCGACCCGGUCACUCCCUGUCCAUCUGGCUACAACACUAACAAGACAGUGUCCCUGUGGGGAAACUCAGGGCGCAUGGAAAUGACAGCUUCCAAGUUCAUGGACAUACAGCGGGCCAUCCAGCCAGACUGGUUCCAGUGCAUCUCUGAUGGAGACACCGUUUCUGGGGAAGGUGGUAGAAAAAGGGCCAAGAAGUCUGUGGAUAGGUCGCUUUCCUUCUUGGAUGUAUGCCUACAGCUGCUAGAAAAAUCACCGGAACUACAAGGAAGUGUAAUGUUUGGGGCAAUUGAAGGUGGAGAUAUCUUGGAAGAGAGGCUCAGAUCAGCCAGGGAGACUGCCAAGCGACCUGUGGGUGGCUUUCUGCUAGAUGGCUUCCAGGGAUGUGCCAUGGCCAAGGAGACCAAGUUGAAACUGAUAGCUUCUGUCACAGCAGAGCUGCCAGAGGAUAAACCGAGAAUCAUCCAUGGUGUAGGCAAACCAGAUGAGGUACUUGAGUGCAUUGAAAGAGGAGUGGACAUUUUUGAGAGCUUCUUUCCCUUCCAAGUGACAGAGCGAGGCUGUGCCUUGGUUUUCAGUUAUGACUGCCAUCCAGAUCCUGAAGCAGCAGUUUUAAAACAAAAUGGGGGCCAGGACCUGGAGAAGAAUGGUGCUGAAGAAGACCAGGAUGAAAUCUCCAAAGCUGACCCAGAAAUGACACCAUUUGAGAUAUUUCUGAAGGACAAGAGAUACCAAGAUGAUUUUGGUCCUUUGCUGGAAGGAUGCACCUGUUACUGUUGUCAGAGGCAUACUCGUGCCUACGUCCAUCACCUCCUCGUGACCAAUGAGCUGUUGGCUGGUGUCCUGCUCAUGAUGCACAACUUCCAGCACUACUUCAGUUUCUUCGGUGCCAUACGGGAUGCCUUAAGAGACAAUAAACUGGAUCAGCUGAAAAAGCUUGUCUUCAGGCAGGUGCUUCAAGGCCCAGCAAAUGUGAAGCCAGGCCAGUGAGUUCAGAGAGAGGAUAGAGCAGGUUGCAGGCUACAUCCCUAUCCAGUGGGAGUGUGUAAGGUGGACUGCCAGCAGGGUAACCUGGACCUGUUAGUACUAAAAUGCUUUCUUUCCUGGAGGGAAUUGAAGGAGACAUUUGAAGAUCAUCUCACUUCCUGGCAGGGAAGGAAGAUCUUAUUCAAACGUCCCUUUUAGUUAAUUGGCUUGGUGCAUUCUUGGGGUAUGGAAGAGCCUGAACAGCUCACAAGACUGGUAUGGAUAGCUUUGUUUUCAGUUACUUACUGUUGGUUUUCCAUGUGGAAGGACAGAAUUAUUGAACUUGCGAUUUGAAGAAGAAGCAGAGCAUAUGCUUAAAAUUAAUCCAACUGCCUGGAGGCUCAGCAGCUGUUUGGGACUCUCAUUCCAUACCCAGCGGAUAUUACAGGAUCCUGAAGAAAUAGUGCAAAGACUGCUUUACUGUUGUCUUUAAACAGAGAUUACUGGGAAUAAUUCAGCCACAGAAACUACAUAAAAUACAGGACUAACGUUCUCACUCCAAGAAGUACCUUAUGAUUUUUAAUGUUGAUGCAGCACUGGGAAACUUGGAGAUGGUGUCCUGGAUAUACAGCAUGAGGUAGAAGGUCUGCCCAUCUUAAAGGGCAGGGAAUUCUAAUGAAACAAAAAUGUUUUAUGCUUCUUUCAAGAGGAAUGCAGGAUACAAUGGUAGUGUUCGGACCUUGCAAUGCUUGUUUCUGCAGUGUCUCAUUCUGCAAUGUUGCAAGUGUCAGUGCAAAACCUUACGGGAGGGGACAGUGACUGUUUUAAAACUUCGCAGUCACUGACACUUUCAUAUCCACAUAAUCACCGAAAUGCAUGAGUUAGCCCAGCACUCAUGCACCAGAAUGCUUGUGUCCAAGAGGUCUGUCGGGGAUGCUCUGUGAAGACAUAGAGGAUGAGGGAUGCUAGCUAUUGUGUCCUCCUCGCGUUGCCUGCAUUCUUCUUGGAUUGGUAGCCUUACUGCUAGUUUUGGAAGUAACAUUUUGUACCCUUUGGGAGCUAGGUGUGAUCAGUCUCCCCAUCCUACCCCACCUCUGUGAAGCAUUAGGAUGUAUUUGUUUUAAUUUGUCUCCUGACCUGGGUGUCCUGAGAAUCUGCACAUUGCUGUACUGGGAUCUUAGUGACCUGCUAAGUGUCAAUAACAUGCCGUUCUCAAUAACCCU